rnacentral:rRNA from 1 species
CAGUCGCCACGGUAAUACGAGGGGGGCAAGCGUUGUUCGGAAUUAUUGGGCGUAAAGGGUGCGUAGGCGGUUCAGCAAGUCUCGUGUGAAAUCUUCGGGCUCAACCCGAAGUCUGCACGGGAAACUACUGGGCUUGAGUAAUGGAGAGGUGAGUGGAAUUUCCGGUGUAGCGGUGAAAUGCGUGGAUAUCGGAAGGAACACCUGUGGCGAAAGCGGCUCACUGGACAUUUACUGACGCUGAUGCACGAGAGCUAGGGGAGCAAACAGGAUUAGAUACCCGGGUAGUCCCUGUCUCUUAUAC